rnacentral:rRNA from 1 species
GAUGAACGCUGGCGGCGUGCCUAAUACAUGCAAGUCGAGCGAACAGACGAGGAGCUUGCUCCUCUGACGUUAGCGGCGGACGGGUGAGUAACACGUGGAUAACCUACCUAUAAGACUGGGAUAACUUCGGGAAACCGGAGCUAAUACCGGAUAAUAUAUUGAACCGCAUGGUUCAAUAGUGAAAGACGGUUUUGCUGUCACUUAUAGAUGGUUCCGCGCCGCAUUAGCUAGUUGGUAAGGUAACGGCUUACCAAGGCAACGAUGCGUAGCCGACCUGAGAGGGUGAUCGGCCACACUGGAACUGAGACACGGUCCAGACUCCUACGGGAGGCAGCAGUAGGGAAUCUUCCGCAAUGGGCGAAAGCCUGACGGAGCAACGCCGCGUGAGUGAUGAAGGUCUGCGGAUCGUAAAACUCUGUUAUUAGGGAAGAACAAAUGUGUAAGUAACUAUGCACGUCUUGACGGUACCUAAUCAGAAAGCCACGGCUAACUACGUG